GGACGGAGGGAAUAGUUUGGAGACAGAUUGACAGUCUGGGACAAUCUACAAGAUGCUUAUGAUGCCGCCAACCCCGGUGGGUCUCAAGCUUAUCCGGCAGCAGCGUACGCAAUGCAACGAUGAUAACUACAGCUACAAGCUAUGUAGACGACGACCAGGGCGUCCUGCAGGAGAUAACUAACUAGUAUAGCUAGGAUGAAGGCCAUGCAGCUGCAAUGGCCAACUCGGGAUAAAAUCA
rnacentral:lncRNA from 1 species